UUAAGGGCGUAUGGCGGAUGCCUAGGCUUUCAGAGGCGAAGAAGGACGUGGUAAGCUGCGAAAAGCUACGGGGAUUGGCACACACGAAUUGAUCCGUAGAUAUCCGAAUGGGGCAACCCAAUACAUUGAAGAUGUAUUACUGCGUAAGCAGAGCGAACCCGGAGAACUGAAACAUCUAAGUACCCGGAGGAAAAGAAAUCGAAGAGAUUCCGUAAGUAGUGGCGAGCGAAAGCGGAUUAGCCCAAAAGUUGUAAUAUGUUUAAUAGAAUACUUUGGAAAGAGUAGCCAUAGAGGGUGAUAGCCCCGUAAAUGAAAGGCAUAUUAUGAUGAUAAUAGAGUAGGGCGGGACACGUGAAAUCCUGUUUGAAUAAGGGGGGACCAUCCUCCAAGGCUAAAUACUCCUGAAAGACCGAUAGUGAACGAGUACUGUGAAGGAAAGGUGAAAAGCACUUCGAAUAGAAGGGUGAAAGAGAACCUGAAACCAUACGCCUACAAGCGGUCGGAGCACCAAUAGGGUGUGACGGCGUGCCUUUUGCAUAAUGAGCCUACGAGUUAAUUGUACUAGCGAGGUUAAGAUAUUAAGUAUCGGAGCCGUAGGGAAACCGAGUCUGAAUAGGGCGAAUAGUUAGUAUGAUUAGACGCGAAACCUUGUGAUCUACCCAUGGGCAGGUUGAAGCUUUGGUAACACAAAGUGGAGGACCGAACCGGUUGACGUUGAAAAGUCUUCGGAUGACCUGUGGGUAGGGGUGAAAGGCCAAUCAAACUGGGAGAUAGCUCGUACUCUCCGAAAUGCAUUUAGGUGCAGCGUCAAUGAUAAGUUUAUUAGAGGUAGAGCUACUGAUUGGAUGCGGGGGUUUCAUCGCCUACCAAUUCCUGACAAACUCCGAAUGCUAAUAAAUGUUCGUUGGCAGUGAGGGCAUGGGUGCUAAGGUCCAUGUCCGAGAGGGAAAGAACCCAGACCAACAGUUAAGGUCCCCAAAUAUAUGCUAAGUUGAAGCAACGCGGUUGAACUGCCUAGACAGCUAGGAUGUUGGCUUGGAAGCAGCCAUUCAUUUAAAGAGUGCGUAACAGCUCACUAGUCGAGCGGUUCGGCAUGGAUAAUAAUCGGGCAUAAGCAUAUUACCGAAGCUAUGGCAACUGGUAGGAGAGCAUUCUAUCGGCGUAGAAGCUGAGUCGUGAGGCUUGGUGGAGCUUAUAGAAAAGAAAAUGUAGGCAUAAGUAACGAUAAAGCGGGCGAGAAACCCGCUCACCGAAAGACUAAGGUUUCCUCAGCCAUGCUAAUCAGCUGAGGGUUAGUCGGGGCCUAACGCGAACCCGAGAGGGGUAGUGGAUGGACAUAGGGUUAAUAUUCCCUAACUUGCUCACGAGGAAAGUGACGGUUCAAUGAGACUUAAGAAGACUGACGGAAUAGUUAAGACCUAGCCUACGGGCGAAGUUGAUUAAGAGCAGUUGGAUCCAAGAAAAGCGAGUGAAGCAACCCGUACCAUAAACCGACACAGGUAGUCGAGGAGAGAAUCCUAAGGUGCUCGAGUGAGUCGUGGCUAAGGAACUAGGCAAAAUAGUCUCAGCUCGGUGAAAUUGUAGUAUCGGUGAAGAUGCCGAUUACCCGCAAUGGGACGAAAAGACCCUGUGAACCUUUACUAUAACUUCGUAUUGACUUUGAGUAAGUAAUGUGUAGGAUAGGUGGGAGACGUAGAAGCAGGCACGCUAGUGUUUGUGGAGUCGCUGUUGAAAUACCACCCUUUGCUUACUUAGAGCCUAACUUCUGGAUAGAAGGACAUUGCGUGGUGGGUAGUUUGACUGGGGUGGUCGCCUCCAAAAGAGUAACGGAGGCUUUCAAAGGUACCCUCAGCACGCUUGGUAACCGUGCGUAGAGUGUAAUGGCAAAAGGGUGCUUGACUGUGAGACCAACAAGUCGAUCAGGUGCGAAAGCAGGACAUAGUGAUCCGGUGGUUCCGAGUGGAAGGGCCAUCGCUCAUAGGAUAAAAGGUACUCCGGGGAUAACAGGCUAGUCUCCCCCAAGAGCUCACAUCGACGGGGAGGUUCGGCACCUCGAUGUCGGCUCGUCACAUCCUGGGGCUGGAGAAGGUCCCAAGGGUUGGGCUGUUCGCCCAUUAAAGUGGCACGCGAGCUGGGUUCAGAACGCGCUGAGUAGCUAAGUUUGGAAUAGAUAAGCACUGAAAGCAUAUAAGUGCGAAACUAGCCACAAGAUGAGAUUUCUUUUAAGGGUCGUGGGAGAUGACCACGUUGAUAGGUUACAGGUGUAAAGGUGGUAACAUCAUAGCCGAGUAAUACUAAUUACCCGUAGGUUUAUAU
rnacentral:rRNA from 1 species